GAUGUUCAGCUUUUUUCCUAUUUAAAGGUGCUGUAAAGCUUUUGUGACAAGUAUAACUGCCUGCCUGUGUAACUCCCUAUAAAUAUACAGGUGUUCUUGAGUGAUUUUUUUAUACCAGCAUCUGUACCACUUCAUUUACAGGCAUGCAUAGCAAGAAGUAAUUUUGAAGCAGAAAACACAGGCAAAUAACACGGGAUAAACAUUAUGGUAAUAUGUGGCCUGCACAUUAUAUUAAAUAAUGAAAUAAACAUUUUCUGAGAUGUCCUUGUUUCAGAAUGAAAUGAAACCAACACUUUAGUUGUUCUCAGCCACAACUGAAACCAGCCAAGUCUGGUUUCAUCUCUGCGACUUGGGUAAGUAAAGAAUGUAAGGUGUUCUAACAGCGGGGGAAGCUCGUGCUUGUUUCAAAUGGUGUUUUAAAACAGCAGGUUUUGUUAAACACCACAACCCAAAUAUAUGAAGAAAAUAACUUUAAAGAGUAAUAGCUAUUAAAUGCAGUAUUGCUUUACCAAUAUUUAUAGGCAAAUGUUGUAAAAGCUUGUUUUGCUUAUAACAGACUGGGGCACAUUAAAGUAAUUUUGUUGACAGUACUAGUAACUCUUGUGCACUCUUUUGACUUUCUCAGGUAGCAAAUCUUCUUUCCUGUUUUCCUUCCAUUUGAAGAAUGAAAUUACAGAUGGGCAAGUAGCUCUAAAACCAUUGAUCAACAUAGAUGAAGAAAUGAAACUGGCUGUGAUAAGUGAGCAGUCAGGCCUAGCCUAAUUGGCAAAUCUGGAAUAAUUCUAGUCCAGUUCUGGUAUCCACAAUUCAAGAAGGAUGCUAAAAAUUGGAGAAGUUUCGGAGGAGAGCCAUGCAAGAUGACACAUGAAGGAUGGAUCUGAGUAAGAUAAGACCUAAGGCAAAAAAGG